UACGGAGGGUGCGAGCGUUGUCCGGAAUCACUGGGCGUAAAGCGCGCGUAGGCGGCGCGGGCAGUCAACGGUGAAAGCUUGGGGCUCAACCCCGAGUCGGCCGUCGAUACUCCCGGGCUGGAGCACUGUAGAGGCAGGUGGAAUUCCGGGUGUAGCGGUGGAAUGCGUAGAGAUCCGGAAGAACACCGGUGGCGAAGGCGGCCUGCUGGGCAGUAGCUGACGCUGAGGCGCGACAGCGUGGGGAGCAAACAGG
rnacentral:rRNA from 1 species